rnacentral:rRNA from 1 species
GAUGAACGCUGGCGGCGUGCUUAACACAUGCAAGUCGAACGGGAAACCUUUUAUUGAAGCUUCGGCAGAUUUAGCUGGUUUCUAGUGGCGGACGGGUGAGUAACGCGUGGGUAACCUGCCUUAUACAGGGGGAUAACAACCAGAAAUGGUUGCUAAUACCGCAUAAGCGCACAGGACCGCAUGGUCCGGUGUGAAAAACUCCGGUGGUAUAAGAUGGACCCGCGUUGGAUUAGCUAGUUGGCAGGGUAACGGCCUACCAAGGCGACGAUCCAUAGCCGGCAUGGGAGGGUGAACGGCCACAUUGGGACUGAGACACGGCCCAGACUCCUACGGGAGGCAGCAGUGGGGAAUAUUGCACAAUGGGGGAAACCCUGAUGCAGCGACGCCGCGUGAAGGAAGAAGUAUCUCGGUAUGUAAACUUCUAUCAGCAGGGAAGAUAGUGACGGUACCUGACUAAGAAGCCCCGGCUAACUACGUG